CUCCAACACAAGCGUCUGGUGCACUGGGAGGAGCUUCAGCUGCGAUGCUAGCGUCUGGAGCGUUGGGAGGGGCUUCGGCUCCUAUGCUUCCUCCAAGAUGGAUUGGCAAGCAAAGACGAACACAUGCAAGGACGAGGUUGGCAUCUGUCCCAGCCUGCAUCUGGGCCUUCGGGACCAUCUAAUGUUGGUAUUGCGGGUGUCAAACCCGUGACGAUUAAUGGCCUUUGAUGUUCAGCCGUUAUUUCAGCAGCCAACCCUUGAGGUGGUGCUGAGGGAUGAUUGAUCCAUUAAUGGAUGCACUAUUCAAAUAGCAACAAACAAAUGUCAUUUAAUUCCUGGAGCCUUACGCAUAAUCAGAAGAAUAAGUCAGUGAGCAGAAACUUCACUGGACCUUCCAUACAAAUGCCAUCUAACUCCAAUGAAGUUCCUACAAAUGUCAUCCCCACUAAUCCGCUGGUGCAUCCCUUUAUGAAGAGAUAUUAUCCAGUUUCUUAUUCUGGGACUCAGAAGACAACACCUGAGGCCCCUUCCACACUGCCAUAUAAAAUCCGGAUUAUCUACUUUGAAUUGGAUUAUAUGGUAGUGUACUCAUAUAAUCCAAAAAAGAUGUGGAUUAUCUGCCUUGAUAAUCUGGAUUAUAUGGUAGUGUAGAAGGGGCCUGAGUGAAUCCUAUUAUGAUCCACAUAAUUUGCAUAAUGAACAAGUACUUUGCAUCAUAUGCAAAGAGGACUGGCUUGAUUUGGUUAACUAGACCAGUGUGGUCCAAUCUGCAGCCCGUGGACCGCAUGUGACCCACCAAUUCAUUUUUGUUGGCCCUUGCCCUUCUUACUGGAAAAAUAUUUUAAUUAUGUAAUUAAAUAUUAUGUAAUUUGUUUUCUUUCUGGAAUGUCUCUGGCCCUCACAUUCCUAUACUAAAGUUUGAUUGGCCCUUGGUUAACUAAAGGUUGGACCACACUGAACUAGACUAUAGCAGAGAAAGAGAGAAUUGCCAGGUAAUGUUGGGUAGGUUAGGAGCAGAAAAGGCUAAAGGAAUAUUUGAUCAAGAGUGGGAGAAACACUAAAAGAUGGCUGCAAAGGGAUUUGCUACCCAGGUAAAUUGUCAUAGGGUGAAUUUAUACUGGGGUGCAGAGAGAUCAGUGUGGACUUUGCAAUAAGGGGCUCAAGAUAACAAGGAUUUGCCUGACUGUGCAACUAAUUUUUUUUUAAAACAAUGUUAAAUUGGGUACUUCAGUUAAUAUUUCAUAAAUUAAAGAAAUGGUAGUGUUUAAAUAAUGAUUUUUGCAACAUCCUUGAAGGUCCUUAUGUUUGUGCUCAUAUAUACACAAAAUGGUCUAAUGAUAUGCCAGAGUUCUCACAACAAAGGGAAACUGACGGGGUGGGGGAAACACAGAUGUGUAUAUCUUAAUUAAAUUUAUUAUGUAUUACUUUCAA